rnacentral:lncRNA from 1 species
GUCCUAUAUUUGUUGUAUAGCCUCCUUUGUGGAAGUUAUGUAUGCAUUUGACUUCACUUAAUCUAAGACAUCUAUUUUCCUUGAACUCUUGAUAGGUCUGCUGGUUUCCUCAAGGGAAUCCAAUCUAGCUGGAUUUUAAUCUCUUUGAAUUGUGUCCUCAGCUAUAAAAGUUUUAGCUGAGGUUUUAAUGGCUGCACUUAAGUAAAUCUAACAGAUAUACCAGGGGGUGUUCCAAUUACAUACACCAUUAAAGGGCUUUAUGUGAGGAUUUUUAAAAAUUACCAUUAAAAAAAAAAAAGCAUAGUCCAUUUGCAGUAUAAUUUACCAGCAGGAAAGAUUUCAAUGUCCUGGAAAAAUUCCCUAUAAAAAGGAAGAUAGGAAAACAGAAAAGUCACAGUACUCAACCUACUUCAAGGGAAGAUUGGGAUCUUUUUGGCUCUCUGCCUCUAAACAGGUAAAAGGCUUUGUAUUAUUUCUAGCACGAGUUUUUCUUCUUUAGAUUGCAUGCUAUUGUAUGUCUACAGGGCAUUUGACAGCCCAAGGGCUAAAUCCAGGUGUGACGGUAUCUAAUGAUGUCCUGUCCUUCACUGUCCUUGCCAUCACCAGCCACAGAGAUCCAGGCUUUGGGGACUCCCACAGCUUAUCGACCAGUGUUUGAUUUAGUUUUUAGCCUCUUUCCCAUCAAAUGAAAAUUAACUUGGAGACACAUUUCAUUAGAAAAUUAGAGGCCCCCUUGGCUAGGAAGGCAUCUGGUCUGGGACUAACUACUUUGAACAGUGUUGAGUCCUCUCUCCCACAGAUGGUUCAGCCAGCAGUAAUGCUAGGAAGACUGAAGGAUAAAUAGAAAAAUGUCAUUAGUACCAUGGGGUAGCCAUGUAAUGUCAAGCAAUUUUAUAUUAGCCAGAGAUUCCUAGUAGGAGCUACUUUUCUUAACAGAUGACUCAGUUCUCUUUAUCUCAGGAAUGAAAGAGUUGAAGACCAAUCCACAACAGGGGAAAUGUUAAGGCAAAAUGAUGAACUUGAUAAGGGAUGAAUUAUGGGGUUUGGAUAACCAAACAAUAAAAAUAAAAGUAUAGACUAUUUUAGUACUAAAAAGGUCCUGAACAUGUGAGCUUAAGUACUCAUUUUGUCCCCAGUGGCUAAGAAACUAAAGGCAAGCCAGCAAGUGUCUCUGAGUUUCAGUGUCUGUAUGUAAAAACUGACUCUGACUUCCAUCUUCUGCAGGGUUAGUGAUACAGAUGCUAGCUUUUUCACUAAAGAGGUCUUUUAGUUUAUACUCAACCUUGUCUGGAUCUAAUUUGAUUGUGCAUUCAUGUGCCUUAGAAUGAAGCCAAUUCAAAAACUCCUAGCUGGCCUUAUUCUACUGACUUGGUGCGUGGAAGGCUGCUCCAGCCAGCACUGGUCCUAUGGACUGCGCCCUGGAGGAAAGAGAGAUGCCGAAAAUUUGAUUGAUUCUUUCCAAGAGAUAGUCAAAGAGGUUGGUCAACUGGCAGAAACCCAACGCUUCGAAUGCACCACGCACCAGCCACGUUCUCCCCUCCGAGACCUGAAAGGAGCUCUGGAAAGUCUGAUUGAAGAGGAAACUGGGCAGAAGAAGAUUUAAAUCCAUUGGGCCAGAAGGAAUGACCAUUACUAACAUGACUUAAGUAUAAUUCUGACAUUGAAAAUUUAUAACCCAUUAAAUACCUGUAAAUGGUAUGAAUUUCAGAAAUCCUUACACCAAGUUGCACAUAUUCCAUAAUAAAGUGCUGUGUUGUGAA